AUGAAGUUCAUGCGCACGUAGCUCUAAUUUUCUGGGCUCCAGCGCAUCCUCGAGAGCCGGCAGCUGGCCUCCCCUAGACGCGUGAAGUCCGAAGAGCCCCGACUGUGACGCACCGAGUUGUCCUCAGAUCCCGUCCCUCCUCCGCCGGGAGCAGCUCGGAGUCGCAGGGCAGCGGCGGGCAGAGAGAGCGCCCCGGUGCCGCGUGCGCCCCGGUGCAGAAGCGCCCCGAGCCUCCGGCCCUCGGAAGCGAGGCCGGUCGGCGGCCGCGCCGGAGCUUGUGCGGAGCCGGCGGGAGGCGGAUGCGGGGCCGCGCGGACGCCGAGUCCUCCGCUCCAGCCAAGUCGCAUCCGGAGCUCCUGCAGCUCGGAUCCGGGGAGGAAGAUGCUCCGGGCGCCGGCCGUGCUGUGCGUGUGCGCGGCCGCCUGGUGCGCGCAGGCUCUGGCGGUGGCCACGGGCCGGCCGGCCGGCGGCAGUUUUCUGGACGACAAACAAUGGCUCAGCACGGUGUCCCAGUACGACCGGGAGGCCGGGCAGUGGAACCGAUUCCGAGACGUAAGUCGGAGCAUAACCGCGCUGGAGCGCGCCGCCCCGGGCUGGGUCGGGGUCGGGGUCGGGGCGCGUGGCAGGGAAGUGGGUGCCUCGGAGGCCGCGCGGUGUUGGGGCAGGGGAGUCGCCUGCCUGACGCAUGGGGUUCGAGUGUCCCCAGGUCUCCACAGUCCCCUCCCCGCACCCAGAGGUUUGCAAAGUGCUACCCGCCCAACUUUGCACGGUGUCCGGCGCUGGCGGGCACGGCCAAGGGGAUCCCGCCCCGAGUGGCCCACCUGGGAGCCCGAGGGGAGACGGGAUGGUGUGGGAUCAUUGGUGCCCUCCCGCUCCCGGGAACCGGGGGAGGGGUCUGGUGGCCCGAGUGAGACGAUGACAAAACCCGCCUAACCGACCUGUGCCAGGCGUCAGCUUCCACACCCGGCUUGGACAUAACCCUGAUUACGAUAUCACGGAUGCUGCGCGGGGAGGGUGGGCGGCUGGGCGUCCUCAGGGGCAGCGUGAGAGGGUUAAGCUGUGUACCCUCCCCCCACCUCCCCAUCUCCCC
rnacentral:lncRNA from 1 species